rnacentral:lncRNA from 1 species
AUCAUCGUGGAAACCGGAACUGAGAGGCUGCAUUUAAAAUAAAGUGGGCCUUUGGGAGCCAUGGAUUUCAGGAUGAUUAUCACUAUCUCUAGAGAAAUUAAUUACAGGAAAAUAGCAGUUACCACUGUGGAGCAAGCUGCGAUGCAGUAUUGAUUGGACAGAACCUCCACUUCAGCGAUGUCCGUCUCAAGUGGCUCCACGUGAUUUCUGCACUGCAAAAUAAAGCCAAACUCUGGAAACAAAAAAAGCAAAACAAAACAAAAGUCAUAGGAUUGCUUCUGGUUGCAGAGCCAUCAAGUAGAUGAGAGAAAUAAUGUGCACACCCAGGCCUUCUGAUCGCUAGUCCAGUGUUUGUGUCACAGCGCCAGUGAUUUCUAGGGACUUAUUCCUGGAACCUUCUUCCUCCCAAAACAGAAGACAGGAUAGGAUCAGCUCC